rnacentral:lncRNA from 1 species
CUUAUGGUAUGUAGUGUAUAGGGUUACCAGUUUGUGCAGGUGAUGCAGUGUGUUUGUGUGUAGUGGAAGCAGUGUGUAUUUGUGUAUAAGGGAUGUAUUAUGUGUUUUUGGUUGUGUGUAAGGGAUGCAUUGUGUGAAUCUGUGUUUGUAUGCAUAAGGGAUGCAAAGUGUGUGUCUGUAUGUGUGUGCAUUUAGUGUAAGAGAUGCAUUGUGUUUCUGUGUGUAUGUAAGAAAAGAAGUGUGUGUGUUUGCAUGUGUGUGU